GUGCCCGUAGCUCAAUUGGAUAGAGCGUCGGCCUCCGAAGCCGAAGGUUACUGGUUCAACUCCAGUCGGGCAUACCA
rnacentral:tRNA from 1 species